rnacentral:rRNA from 1 species
GAUGAACGCUGGCGGCGUGCCUAAUACAUGCAAGUCGAGCGAACAGACGAGGAGCUUGCUCCUCUGACGUUAGCGGCGGACGGGUGAGUAACACGUGGAUAACCUACCUAUAAGACUGGGAUAACUUCGGGAAACCGGAGCUAAUACCGGAUAAUAUAUUGAACCGCAUGGUUCAAUAGUGAAAGACGGUUUUGCUGUCACUUAUAGAUGGAUCCGCGCCGCAUUAGCUAGUUGGUAAGGUAACGGCUUACCAAGGCGACGAUGCGUAGCCGACCUGAGAGGGUGAUCGGCCACACUGGAACUGAGACACGGUCCAGACUCCUACGGGAGGCCGCAGUAGGGAAUCUUCCGCAAUGGGCGAAAGCCUGACGGAGCAACGCCGCGUGAGUGAUGAAGGUCUUCGGAUCGUAAAACUCUGUUAUUAGGGAAGAACAAAUGUGUACGUAACUAUGCACGUCUUGACGGUACCUAAUCAGAAAGCCCCGGCUAACUACGUG